GGUCGUAGACUUGGCCCAGCCCACCCUCUCAAGGUGGAGACACGGGUUCGAAUCCCGUUGGGACUA
rnacentral:tRNA from 1 species